rfam:Ictidomys tridecemlineatus contig111614, whole genome shotgun sequence.
GUAGAGGAGAUGGCACAGGGGACAUGGCUCAGACUUGGGGGGAGGGGCCUCUAGGCCCUCAGACAUGAGUCCUCUUCUUCCUCCCAG